rnacentral:rRNA from 1 species
UUGGUUGAUCCUGCCAGUAGUGUAUGCUUCUCCUAAAGACUAAGCCAUGCAUGCCCUGAAUAAGAGGAAGCAAUUCUCUCUGAAUCUGCGAACGGCUCCGCAAACCAGUUGUAAACUAGAGCAAGCAAGCCUGGCGGGCUUCGGCCUCCAGGUGAUAUGGAUAACCCUGGUAAUUCUGAGGCUAAUACAUGACCGCAAAACCGGGCAGCCCAGCAAUGGAUGCUCGGGGAUGUGCGAUAUGGCUUGACAAUAACCGGGAAAGGACGCACACUCAGACCGCGCUAAAAAGGAUCGGGACUCUCUUCGGAGAACCUGGCCCCUGCGGCUCUUGCUGUGUGCUUCUGACCUAUCAACUAGACGGCAGCGUAAUGGACAUGCUAUGGUGACAACGGGUACAGAGGAUUAGGGUUCGAUCCUGGAGAGUGGGCCUGAGAGAUUGCUCAUACUUCUAAGGAAGGCAGCAGG